rnacentral:rRNA from 1 species
UGCCAGCAGCUGCGGUUAUACAAAAAAUACAAGUAAAUUUUAUUAAAUUAAGUUAAAUUGUAAAAUAUUUAGUAAUAAAAGAAUUUUUAGGUGAAAUUUUAAUUGUUUUAUUUUUAAAAAAAAAGAAAGUAUUGAAGCUAAAAAAUUUUGUUAAUAAACUAGGAUUAGAUACCCUAUUAUUAAAAAAUGUAUUUUUAAAAGUUAGAGUAGUAAUAGUUAUGAUCUUGAAACUCAAAAAAUUUGGCGGUAUUUUAGUCUAUUCAGAGGAACCUGUGGUGUAAUCGAUAAUCCACGAUGAAUCUUACUUAUUUUUGUUUUUCAAUUUGUAUACCGCCGUUAUUUAAAAAUUUUUUGAAAAUAAUAAUUUUUAUAAUUUUUUAUUAAAGAAAAAGUCAGGUCAAGGUGCAGUUUAUAUUUAAGUAUUUCAUGGGUUACAAUAAAUUUAUUUAUAUGGAUUAAAUUAUGAAAUUAAUUUAUGAAAGUGGAUUUGGGAGUAAAUUUUUAUAGAUUAAAAAAUUGAUUUUGGCUCUAAAAUAUG